UAAUACGUAGGGUGCAAGCGUUGUCCGGAAUUAUUGGGCGUAAAGAGCUCGUAGGCGGUUUGUCGCGUCUGCUGUGAAAAUCCGAGGCUCAACCUCGGACCUGCAGUGGGUACGGGCAAGCUAGAGUGCGGUAGGGGAGAUGGGAAUUCCUGGUGUAGCGGUGGAAUGCGCAGAUAUCAGGAGGAACACCAAUGGCGAAGGCACAUCUCUGGGCCGUAACUGACGCUGAGGAGCGAAAGCGUGGGGAGCGAACAGGAUUAGAUACCCUGGUAGUCCACGCCGUAAACGGUGGGUGCUAGUUGUGGGCCACAUUCCACGUGGUCUGUGACGAAGUUAACACAUUAAGCACCCCGCCUGGGGAGUACGGUCGCAAGACUAAAACUCAAAGGAAUUGACGGGGGCCCGCACAAGCGGCGGAGCAUGCGGAUUAAUUCGAUGCAACGCGAAGAACCUUACCAAGACUUGACAUAUAGUAGAAAAGCGUAGAAAUACGCUCCCCGCAAGGCUGC
rnacentral:rRNA from 1 species